rnacentral:rRNA from 1 species
CCGCAUCGCCGCGGCGUCGGCACGGGACGCGGGCCAGCCGGCGCAGGCGAUGCCACCGUACCCAAGUUCAUGUAAGCGGUAGUCGUGAGACGCCGUGGAGGUAUGGGAAGUGCGAAUGCUGACAUGAGUAACGAUAAAGAGUGUGAGAGACACUCUCGCCGAAAGACCAAGGGUUCCUGCGUAAAGUUAAUCUGCGCAGGGUUAGCCGGCUCCUAAGACGAGGCCGAAAGGCGUAGUCGAUGGGAAUGAGGUGAAUAGUCCUCAGCCUGCGGGUGGUGAC